UUAUCAUUCUAUACAUUUUAUGUUACGACAUUAAUGUAAGUUCAAAAAUUUGUCCAUAUUGUUCAAAGAAUGAAAGAGAGUUUAGCGAGGCUGAUUAAUCUAAGUUUGAACUAUUAACGGUGAAACGAACGGAAAAAGAGAUACUGGGCGCUGCACACUUCUGUUGACUGCGUGGCAAACACUGGAACAAAAGCGUAGAGACACCGAGCAAAAAAUGGGAAUCCUGUUAAAAAAAAAAUGGACAGCUUAAAUGUCAACGGCAAUAACACUCGUGAAUUUUGUAAUAAUCAAUACAAACAUUUCGUGGCGCCCUACGGAGAGCUCUGGUGUAAUCCGGUAUGGGACUCAUUACUCUGUUGGCCGCCAACGAUAGCCUCUAUUACGGCAAAGCAGCGAUGCCCCUUCGUGGAUGGAUUUGAUACGACUAAAUACGUAGAGAAGAAAUGCGGCUACAAUGGACGGUGGGAGGCACAGAACGGCACAAGCAUGAACGAGGAAUCGUUCAUUGGCUGGGCGAAUUACACUACCUGCUUAACGCCAGAAAUGCUGAAGCUUCAUUACAGAGUCUACAAUAAUAAUGUCGAGGGCGAGAUGAAAAUGGAAAUAGCUGAGAAGACGCGCACCCUUGAAUUUGUCGGUCUCAGUAUAUCUCUGGUGGCUUUACUUGCUUCUCUGGUGAUUUUCUGUCGAUUUAGAUCGUUGCGAAACACGAGGACCAGAAUUCACAAGAAUCUCUUUGUCGCCAUGGUCGUACAGGUGCUGAUCAGAUUAAUGUUGUACAUAGACAUCGCGAUUUAUCGUAGGAAGCCGCACGGCAUACAACGAGGAAUAGGAAAUACUCCGGUAUUGUGUGAGGCCAGUUACGUACUACUGGAAUACGUCAAGACUGCGAUGUUUAUGUGGAUGUUCAUAGAGGGUCUGUUUCUGCACAACAUGGUGACUGUGACGGUUUUUCAAGAGACGUCUUAUUAUCGCAUGUAUCGAUUCGUUGGAUGGGGAUGUCCAGUGCUGAUGACCUCGGCUUGGGUCAUUGUUAUGGCAUUUUAUUAUCAUCCGAAAUCAAAAUUUCCUAGAUGUUGGUCGGGGUACAAUUUAUCGUCUUACUUUUGGAUCCUCGAAGGACCUAGAUUCGCAGUGAUAUUGCUCAACUUUUUAUUCUUGCUGAAUAUUAUAAGAGUGCUCGUGAUUAAGUUACGGCAAAGUCAUACAAGCGAAAUUGAACAAGUUCUGAAAGCCGUGAGGGCAGCCGUGGUACUUUUACCGUUAUUAGGUAUUACUAACGUGCUCUUCAUGAUCGAAGCACCGUUGGAUAACGUAAGCAAGUUCGCUGUGUGGUCCUACUCCACUCAUUUUCUGCAAUCGUUUCAGGGCCUUUUCAUCGCAAUGCUUUAUUGUUUUCUUAAUGGCGAAGUAAGACUCGCUUUGGAUAAAACCAUUGCCGUUUAUCUUUCUCUAAGAGGAGGCGACUUGCAGACUAGAAGACAGUCGACCCUUAGCGGCGGUCAACCUCAGCGAAUAACUUCGGUGAUCGAGAUGGAAGAGGAAGAAACGAGACCUAUUGGGUUGAUGAGACUGUGCUGUCGGGGUAAAAAUACUCCGCCACCAGAUCGACCUGUCGAUUCCACUUUGUGUUACAGAAUACAAGAACAAAGAGAUGAAAAAAUUGAAUGCGUACUUUCUCGAGAGCGAGAAAAUUCCAACGCAGGAAAAGGUGAAAGGAAAUGACAAUGUAUUAGAAUUCUCAAGAUUACAUCCAGCUUGUAAAUACUAUUGAUGACAACAGUUUAAUCGUAGUAAACGCGCAAAUCUCUCAACGUCUGGAAGUCAAUCUCACAG
rnacentral:misc_RNA from 1 species